GUGGGGAAUAUUGGUCAAUGGGCGCAAGCCUGAACCAGCCAUGCCGCGUGCAGGAAGACGGUCCUAUGGAUUGUAAACUGCUUUUAUUUGGGAAUAAACCUCCUUACGUGUAGGGAGCUGAAGGUACCAAAUGAAUAAGCACCGGCUAACUCCGUGCCAGCAGCCGCGGUAAUACGGAGGGUGCAAGCGUUAUCCGGAAUCAUUGGGUUUAAAGGGUCCGCAGGCGGUCAUAUAAGUCAGUGGUGAAAGCCUACAGCUCAACUGUAGAACUGCCAUUGAUACUGUAUGACUUGAAUUCGAUCGAAGUGGGCGGAAUGUGACAUGUAGCGGUGAAAUGCUUAGAUAUGUCACAGAACACCGAUAGCGAAGGCAGCUCACUAGGUCUGGAUUGACGCUCAGGGACGAAAGCGUGGGGAGCAAACAGGAUUAGAAACCCCUGUAGUCC
rnacentral:rRNA from 1 species